GGCAAAGCAGCUGCCGCCGCGUUAGCCACUUAGUGAAAGUUGCGCGGCGGCGAUUGACGCUUCCUUGGGAAUCCGGAUGCGCUCGGAAGAGGCAGCGGCAGCGACAGCAGCGCCGGGGCUGGCAGGACUGCUCCUCGCUGGGGCACCGCACAGGCGGCUUCCUAGGCAGAAAGGGAGAGUGGAUCCGGAGCUAGCGAUGGAAGCCCCGCACCUCGACCUGCUGGAGUCCCCCGAGGGCUGCCCCUCCCCUCUGGAGCUCAAGUCUGCCCCCAGCAAGAAGAUGUGGGUCAAGCUCCGCGCGCUGCUGCGGUACAUGGUGAAACAGCUGGAGACGGGAGAAGUGAAUAUUGAAGAAUUGAAGAAGAACUUGGAAUAUACUGCUUCAUUGCUUGAAGCUGUCUACAUUGAUGAGACCAGGCAGAUCCUGGACACGGAAGAUGAACUGCAGGAGAUCAAGUCCGAUGCGGUCCCCUCUGAGGUGCGGGACUGGCUGGCCUCUACUUUCACCCAGCAGACCCGUGCCAAGGGACGCCGUUCAGAGGAGAAGCCCAAGUUUCGCAGCAUCGUUCAUGCUGUCCAAGCUGGCAUCUUUGUGGAGAGGAUGUUCCGUCGAUCGUACACAGCUGUGGGGCCCAACUAUCCCCCGUCAGUCAUCAACUGUCUGAAGACUCUCGACCUCUGGUUUUUUGAUGUCUUUGCGCUGAAUAGGGUGAGCGAGGACCAUGCCUUGCGUACAAUUGUCUUUGAACUGCUCACCCGCCACAACCUCAACAGCCGCUUCAAGAUUCCUACAGUGUACCUCAUGACCUUCCUGGAUGCACUGGAGGCUGGCUAUGGGAAAUACAAGAACCCCUACCACAACCAGAUACACGCUGCCGAUGUCACCCAGACUGUACACUGCUUCCUGCUUCGCACCGGCAUGGUGCACUGCCUGACGGAGAUUGAGGUCCUGGCCAUGAUCUUUGCAGCUGCCAUCCAUGACUAUGAACACACGGGUACCACCAACAGCUUCCACAUCCAGACCAAGUCAGAUACGGCCAUUUUGUACAAUGACCGCUCAGUGCUGGAGAACUACCACAUCAGUGCCGUCUUCCGUAUGAUGCAGGACGAUGAAAUGAACAUCCUCGUCAACCUGAACAAGGAUGAAUUUGCGGAACUGCGGUCGCUUGUGAUCGAAAUGGUUCUGGCUACAGAUAUGUCCUGUCACUUCCAACAAGUCAAGUCCAUGAAGACCUCUCUGCAGCAGCUUGAGCGGAUCGACAAGGCCAAAGCACUCUCCUUGCUGUUGCAUGCAGCUGACAUCAGCCACCCCACCAAACAAUGGACAGUGCACUCCCGAUGGACCAAAGCGCUCAUGGAAGAGUUCUUCCGACAGGGGGACAAGGAAGCUGAGCUAGGAUUGCCCUUCUCCCCCCUGUGUGAUCGCACAUCCACACUGGUGGCCCAGUCACAGAUUGGUUUCAUUGACUUCAUCGUGGAGCCCACCUUUCAAGUACUGACAGAUGUGGCAGAGAAGAUGAUCAUUCCACUGGUGGAGGAAGGCUCCAAGAACAAAACCUCUGGGCAGCAGAGCAGUUCCCACUGGCGUCAGCCCUCUGUGGAUGAGCAUGCUGAGCUGGGAGACAUCAACGCUGACAUCAACAGCUUCCGUUCCACCUGGACCAAGUACAUCCAAGAGAACAAGCAGAAGUGGAAGGAGCGGGCUGCCAGUGGCAUCACGAACCAGACUUCCAUUGACGAGCUCUCGCCGUGUGAGGAGGAGGCGAGCACGCCUGACAGCCAGCACAAUCAGAAUGGCAACGUGGAAUAGCCCUGCCCGUAUGGGAGCAAGGUCCCUGACGCAGUUGACUCCAAAGUCUUCGACACCAUCGACUCAGCACCAUCCGCACAGGGAGGGAGCCUCUCCCAGCUCAAGAAGGGUGUGACAUGAAUGCGACCAUCAAUACUACUAGUAAUAAUAUUAAUAAUGAUAGAUGCAAACGUUAACGAGUCAGCGACGUCGACAUCACACAGCACCCACUGCCUGCCCCAUCCCUGAGUUGCAGAGACUGAGAGAGAACCCCCGUGUCACUUCCCGUCACCCAGCGCCAGUGGGGUGAACGGCCUUGGUGGCAUCAGGAACCGACCCCCCCGACCCCCACCCCCACUGUGCCAAAUGGCCCGGGGAAGGCUUCUCACUGCCAGACCAGCAAAGCAACUGCCGAGCCAAUUGCCACAGCUGGUUUUUGAAAUAUUGGCCGAGAUUGCACUUCUUUGGCUGGAGAGCGGGGUGGAGACCGUGGCGAAGGUCGCCCCUGCAUGAGCAGCAUGGAAUCCAGAUGGCCUGGGAGGUGGGCCAGACCAAAGACCAAAGGGACCAAGAGUCGCCCCCCUCCCCCCCGACCCUGCCCAGGAGGUUCCACUUGCGCUUCUCUUGGGACAGCUGGCAGAGGUUUCUGGCAGGCCCAUCCCCUUGCAUGAAUAAGUGAAUGCUCUGUAUGUGUAGGCCUCCCUUCUUGUCAAAACCAGAUCAGCCAGCCUCAUUGCCAUGGCAUUAAAUGGCUCAGAUCUGCUGUGUGCCAAAUCUCGCCCCUCCCGAGCAAUACUUACACAAUGAUCAGGUGCUUCAAACAACCCCCACUUGGCGACUGGCCCACUGUUUGUGGGAUUCAGCGUUUGUUGUGCAGUGGCGGGGUCCCCCUUUCUCUGGACCUUUGGUCGUUCUGGAGUGGGAAUGAGUGAGACGAAACUGCACUUCUUUUCAUGGGCUGGAUCCUGCCUGCCUUCCUGCAGGGGGUGUGCAAAGUGGAUGCCAGGUAGAGCCUUGUUCUUGCCAGUUCUGUAGCUUCUGGCUUUCUGGGAUGCAAAAACUCGCAGCUUGGUGAUCCUUCUCUCACUGACCUGUGUAUUUCUGAAUUGAAGUAAGUUCCCUUCACCAUGGAACAUGGUUUGGAUGGUCCUUGGUCAGAGCACCCUUGUGUGUCUGGCAUGAGCUCCUGCGUGCAACGAAGAUCAGGGUGCGGUGGAGGGGCAGUGCAUUGCAGGUUUGGAUUUAGGAGUGGGAAGAACGACAUUCCAGAAGCAGGAGAAGUUUGCCAGUCAGGAAUUGGGGCUAUAAUGAAUUGGGGUUAAGCCAUGUUUGAAAUGGUAGGGCUCAGCCAAAUAAUAAUGGAACAGCAUACCUCUAAGCAAGUGCGGAUACUCUUUCCUUUGAAUCACAGCCUGCGCCCACAUAUCUAAAAUUUGGAAGUGUGUCUUCCAGGCAGAGAACUGGCUUCUAGAUAAGCUUGAGCCUUGGCAUGCUUCCAUCUCUCUCUCUCUCUCUCUCUCUCUCUCUCUCCAGAUUAAUCAUAUAUCAGAAUAGAGGCGUUUUGACAUAACACACUCUUAGUGGUGAUCCUCUUUUGGUUGAGCUUGAAACCAAGAGACAUCAUCAGAUGUGUACAUGGAAGAUCUUGUGCAAGGUCUUGCAUGAAGCUGAGGAAUAUCCACUAGGCCAGGGUUAAGAAACCCUGCACUAGGCUAAAGCAAAUACCCUCUUUCAUGCAAUAUGUGAACUACUCGCUUCUCCCAGUGGUUGGAGAACAUUGAACACUUGGCUACCAAUCUUCUUAUGCUAGUGUGCAUGCACAGGCUAAGGCAAUAUAUUGGCCCUGACUGGGGCACUGGGAUGAGACCUCAGAAUAUUCUGCACAUUCCCAUUUAUAAGCAUUUGAAUGUGGGAACAACAUGGAUGAACAUAGUAGAAUUGACAAGCUUGGGAGGAAGCUGUGUGUGUGUGUGUGUGUGUGUGUGUGUGAGAGAGAGAGAGAGAGAGAGAGAGAGAGAGAGAGAGAGAGAGAGAGAGAGAGAGAGAGAUUGCAGCCAGAGGUGAACUGGGACUCAUGGAUGAGGGGAUAAGCUAGUUCUGAGCUGCUGGAGGUAUUUAAGGAAAAAUGGGAAAUUCUGAAACUUGUGAAGGAAUAGAAUGUUUCUCCAUUUCUUCAAAGUGAAUGUCUGCCCCAGCCUGAAAUCUGCUAGGUCAUCCCAGGACUGUGUGAUUCAGGCCUCAGUUUCCCCCUACCUACUUUUCCGCCCCAGUGUAAAAACCUGGAAUGGGGGCAUGGCCAAGAUUUUGCCCCAUGCAUCGUCAGCUCUGACGUCUUGUCCAGUGCUUUGAAUGCUUCCCUUGAGACUGAGGUGGCUGAACAGGAAUUGCCAAGAGAUGGAGUUCUCUUAGCUCUGACUCCGUCAUUUUUCCAUGUGACCAACCUGGACACCCCUUGCUGUUCUCAUCUCCAGCCUCCCCGGCCCCUACUCCCGGCCCCACAACUUGUAAAUACCCCUUUGUCAACACAUUUGGUCCAUGGAACUCUGUAUGUGUUUGUACCUUGGGCGUAAUUUUUCUACCAUGCAGUAACUCUUUUUUUUCUCUUCUUGUUUGUUUCUUGAACUCAAAUUCUUAUUAUAACAGCUCCAUAUUCCAAUGCAGAAUCCAAACUAUGCGCAUGUAAAAGAAACUUAAUGAAUAAAAGGAAAGGAAUGAAUAGAAACAACAAAUAAAGGAGGGACAAAAAGAGACAAAUAA